UUUUUGUGAAAAUUGUCGACAAAAAAAAAAUUUUUUUUGGUUAAAAUCAAAAUCAUGCGAAUUUAAGACCCAUUUCUGGACGAAACUCUAAGAAUAGAGGCAUCAAAAAUUUGCAAGAAUUCAAGAGAUGUGAAGAAUUAGUGGAGGAGAUGCGGAAGCUCAAAUAAGGGAAAGAAAACAUCUAGGUAUCAAUGCAACAGGAGGCAGCGACAGCUGGGAUGGCGAUCAAUGAAUGAAAUGUGUAAAAUAAUUAAAAAAAUUAAAAAAUAAAUAUUUUAUACCAUUGAAAAAAUAA